UUAAGACUGACCCCUUCCCCCUCCGUGGACUCAGAUGAUAAGUGUAGAUCAGCCACGACCUCCCCUCCUCUAGCCCCUCGUGCACGUUGUCGCCAUUGUCCCGGUCGCCCAUCGUUCCAUGAGAGAGAGAAACAUGCGGGCGCUGCCGGUGAUUUCCGUCCGUGCAUGCAUUCUGGUCUGCGCGUGUGGCCGGGGGCGUGCGCUAGAAACCAGUGUAGCUGCGGAAGCCCUCAAUUCGAGAUGAGAACCCCUGGGGUCUCCGGAAUUUCUCGCCGGAGCUCGGGAAGCCGCACACCGCCGUGGCCAAGGACGACCGCUGCGAUUCUCGACGAGCAAACCAAAUGGGAUCCAGGGAUUCAGCAGGAGGAGACUGCUG
rnacentral:lncRNA from 7 species